GACGAACGCUGGCGGCGUGCCUAAUACAUGCAAGUAGAACGCAGUUGCGAACGGGUGAGUAACGCGUAGGUAACUGCCUCAUAGCGGGGGAUAACUAUUGGAAACGAUAGCUAAUACCGCAUACUGUGAGAUGGACCUGCGUUGUAUUAGGUAGUUGGUGAGGUAAAGGGUCAACAAGGCGACGAUACAUAGCCGACUUGAGAGGGUGGUCGGCCACACUGGGACUGAGUCACGGCCCAAGCUCCGACGGGGGGCAGCAGGUUGGAAUGAUCGGAAAUGGGGGGAAGUCUGACCGAGCAACGCCGCGGGAGUGAAGAAGGUUUUCGGAUCUUUAAGCUCUGUUGUUAGAGAAGCGUUAACUAACCAGAAAGGGACGGCUAACUACGUGCCAGCAGCCGCGGUAAUUC
rnacentral:rRNA from 1 species